rnacentral:rRNA from 1 species
GACGAACGCUGGCGGCGUGCCUAAUACAUGCAAGUCGAGCGGACAGAAGGGAGCUUGCUCCCGGAAGUUAGCGGCGGACGGGUGAGUAACACGUGGGCAACCUACCCUGUAGAUCGGGAUAACAUCGAGAAAUCGGUGCUAAUACCGGAUAAUCAUUUGAAGUGCAUGCUUCGAAUGUAAAAGAUGGCUCCGGCUAUCACUACGGGAUGGGCCCGCGGCGCAUUAGCUAGUUGGUAAGGUAAUGGCUUACCAAGGCAACGAUGCGUAGCCGACCUGGGAGGGUGAUCGGCCACACUGGGACUGAGACACGGCCCAGACUCCUACGGGAGGCAGCAGUAGGGAAUCUUCCGCAAUGGACGAAAGUCUGACGGAGCAACGCCGCGUGAGUGAUGAAGGUUUUCGGAUCGUAAAGCUCUGUUGUUAGGGAAGAACAAGUGCCGUUUGAAUAAGGCGGCACCUUGACGGUACCUAACCAGAAAGCCACGGCUAACUACGUGCCAGCCGCCGCUUAACAC